rnacentral:lncRNA from 1 species
CAGCUGUCCAGGGAAGUACUCUGUAGUGAUGUGAAAAUUCCGAAUGACUCUGAGGCGCUGGGUCCAGCCUUGCUGGGCCUCACACCCCGUGCCUCUGCCCUUAGGUUUCCGUUCAGCCGCCCGGAGCUGCUGAAGGAAUGGGUGCUGAACAUCGGCCGGGGCAACUUCAAGCCCAAGCAGCACACGGUCAUCUGCUCCGAGCACUUCCGGCCAGAGUGCUUCAGCGCCUUUGGAAACCGCAAGAACCUAAAGCACAAUGCCGUGCCCACGGUGUUCGCCUUUCAGGACCCCACACAGCAGGUGAGGGAGAACACAGACCCUGCCAGUGAGAGAGGA